UACAGAGGUCCCGAGCGUUGUUCGGAUUCAUUGGGCGUAAAGGGUGCGUAGGCGGUCUUCUAAGUUUGAUGUGAAAUCCCGGGGCUCAACCCUGGAAUUGCAUUGAAUACUGGAGGACUAGAGUACCGGAGAGGAAACUGGAAUUUACGGUGUAGCAGUGAAAUGCGUAGAGAUCGUAAGGAAGACCAGUGGCGAAGGCGAGUUUCUGGACGGUAACUGACGCUGAGGCACGAAGGCCAGGGGGAGCAAACGGG
rnacentral:rRNA from 1 species